GCGGCGAUGUUGGAACUGGUAGACAAGCAUGGUUGAGGUCCAUGUGUUGAGAGACGUGCAGGUUCAAGUCCUGUUCGCCGCA
rnacentral:tRNA from 1 species